rnacentral:rRNA from 1 species
UACGUAGGGUGCGAGCGUUAAUCGGAAUUACUGGGCGUAAAGCGUGCGCAGGCGGCUUCGCAAGUCAGGCGUGAAAUCCCCGGGCUUAACCUGGGAAUGGCGUCUGAAACUACGGAGCUGGAGUGUGGCAGAGGGAGGUAGAAUUCCACGUGUAGCGGUGAAAUGCGUAGAUAUGUGGAGGAAUACUGAUGGCGAAGGCAGCCUCCUGGGCCAACACUGACGCUCAUGCACGAAAGCGUGGGGAGCAAACAGG